rnacentral:rRNA from 1 species
UGCAGUCGAGCGGACAGAUGGGAGCUUGCUCCCUGAUGUUAGCGGCGGACGGGUGAGUAACACGUGGGUAACCUGCCUGUAAGACUGGGAUAACUCCGGGAAACCGGGGCUAAUACCGGAUGCUUGUUUGAACCGCAUGGUUCAAACAUAAAAGGUGGCUUCGGCUACCACUUACAGAUGGACCCGCGGCGCAUUAGCUAGUUGGUGAGGUAACGGCUCACCAAGGCAACGAUGCGUAGCCGACCUGAGAGGGUGAUCGGCCACACUGGGACUGAGACACGGCCCAGACUCCUACGGGAGGCAGCAGUAGGGAAUCUUCCGCAAUGGACGAAAGUCUGACGGAGCAACGCCGCGUGAGUGAUGAAGGUUUUCGGAUCGUAAAGCUCUGUUGUUAGGGAAGAACAAGUACCGUUCGAAUAGGGCGGUACCUUGACGGUACCUAACCAGAAAGCCACGGCUAACUACGUGCCAGCAGCCGCGGUAAUACGUAGGUGGCAAGCGUUGUCCGGAAUUAUUGGGCGUAAAGGGCUCGCAGGCGGUUCCUUAAGUCUGAUGUGAAAGCCCCCGGCUCAACCGGGGAGGGUCAUUGGAAACUGGGGAACUUGAGUGCAGAAGAGGAGAGUGGAAUUCCACGUGUAGCGGUGAAAUGCGUAGAGAUGUGGAGGAACACCAGUGGCGAAGGCGACUCUCUGGUCUGUAACUGACGCUGAGGAGCGAAAGCGUGGGGAGCGAACAGGAUUAGAUACCCUGGUAGUCCACGCCGUAAACGAUGAGUGCUAAGUGUUAGGGGGUUUCCGCCCCUUAGUGCUGCAGCUAACGCAUUAAGCACUCCGCCUGGGGAGUACGGUCGCAAGACUGAAACUCAAAGGAAUUGACGGGGGCCCGCACAAGCGGUGGAGCAUGUGGUUUAAUUCGAAGCAACGCGAAGAACCUUACCAGGUCUUGACAUCCUCUGACAAUCCUAGAGAUAGGACGUCCCCUUCGGGGGCAGAGUGACAGGUGGUGCAUGGUUGUCGUCAGCUCGUGUCGUGAGAUGUUGGGUUAAGUCCCGCAACGAGCGCAACCCUUGAUCUUAGUUGCCAGCAUUCAGUUGGGCACUCUAAGGUGACUGCCGGUGACAAACCGGAGGAAGGUGGGGAUGACGUCAAAUCAUCAUGCCCCUUAUGACCUGGGCUACACACGUGCUACAAUGGACAGAACAAAGGGCAGCGAAACCGCGAGGUUAAGCCAAUCCCACAAAUCUGUUCUCAGUUCGGAUCGCAGUCU